CUGGACUCUUAAGCUUAUGCUUAAAUAGAGCUAGAUGAUCUUUGGAAGGCCAUCAAUAUUCAGGAAUCUUUAAGGCAGUUCGACCAUGUGCCCCUUUGUGUCUACUUUGGACAGCUGUGUGGCCACUGCAGUCCCUGAUAUGAAACCAGUCCCCAGAUAUCCCUUCAUUCAUAACUAUGGGCCUACACAUGGAAGCCAUGUGAGAUGACCAAUGGAGAAACCAUUGGUCCAAUUAUGGUUAAGGAAGAUGCUUGAUGGCACAGUGCCUUAUUUUCUGAAAUGGAGUUAAUAGAACGCUUAUGUGCUGGAGUAACUAAUGGCUGAAGAUGGAACAACUCAAUGUCUUGUUUAUUAAACAACCUCGGUUGCAAGUGUGCCUGCUAAUUAGCUGAAUCUUAGUUUUGAAGUGCUCAUGUGCCACUUAUGGAUGGCUUCCUGGACAUGGAUUAAGCUUGGUCAAACUAAGU